GUCACAGCCCAAUCCCGGGGCCAGGAAAACAUGUCAGCACCAGCCUCUGGCUCCUCUGGGCUGGAGGCCUCCUUCAAUGAGACAUUCACAUCUUUGCCCCAUGGGGAAGAAGCCUUAGAUUUCCAUCCCUCUACUGAACUUGGACACAGGAGAACUCACAGACGGAUACAUUGCUUCCCCACCUAAUUCUCAUCUUUUGAAGGAAUUGAGGAGAAAGAAGCUCAAUAAUGGGUGAACAGAAAGUGUUGGCUGUGUUUCCACACGGAAGCGUGGCUGGUUAUAGCAUUGGGAGACCUCUCUGUUAAGGUCGGUUGGCUUUGUUGCUGCCCAGAGGCAGGAGGGAGGACGAGGUGAGUGACCUCAUUAUUCGCUGGCUCUGCUGUAGUGCUGGAUGGCUUCACAGGGUCUGUCCUGGGCUGGGAGGUCGGCAGAGACCUCCGAAAUCCUGCAACCUGUGAUCACAGGAGUAAGUGCCCUUCCUCACGUCCUGCUGUCAAGGACCAUGGACACGUUGUCAUUACUGGAAAGGCAACAAACUACCUUUCUGAAGAUGACGGCGGGCCCAUUUAAUAGAAGAGGUGGCUUCUGAUAUCAAUUAAUAGCAUUAAAAUUUUUUUGCA